UGCAGACGUGAGUCAUUGAAUCUUUGAACGCACAUUGCGCCGGACCCCGGCAUGCGCGGUUGAGCGUCGCACCCUCUCCACAGGUGUUGCUGCUCCCAGCAGUCAAAGGCAUGGAACGCACCCGUUAGCACAACGGUGUUUUGUGAACCGCUGACCUCAGCCGCGCAAGAGCACCCGCUGAACUUAAGCAUAUCAAUAAGCGGAGGAAAAGAAACCAACAGGGAUUGCCCUAGUAAUGGCGAAUGAACAGGCAAGAGCUCAGAUUUGAAACCCUCGGGAUUGUAGUCUGAAGGCCCAGAUCCGGCAGCUGGCCAAGUCUCCUGGAACGGAGCGCCAUGGAGGGUGACAGCCCCGUAGCAGCAGCCACCGCGGAUCCGGGCCCACGAGUCGAGUUGUUUGGGAAUGCAGCUCUAAGUGGGUGGUAUGCUCCAUCUAAGGCUAAAUACUGGCGAGAGACCGAUAGCGAACAAGUACUGUGAAGGAAAGAUGAAAAGAACUUUGAAAAGAGAGUGAAAAAGUACGUGAAAUUGUUGAAAUGGAAGGCAAUGAGGCGCGAUUGCGCCGGACGUGCGCGGGCAGGACAAAGGCGCGGGCCG
rnacentral:rRNA from 1 species